rnacentral:sRNA from 1 species
GUUUCAAUUCCUCAUAGGCAGGCUAUCGGCUUGGCCCGUCCUGGCAAUCGGCCUGGGUAUCAUGGG